ACGAACGCUGGCGGCAGGCCUAACACAUGCAAGUCGAACGCCCCGCAAGGGGAGUGGCAGACGGGUGAGUAACACGUGGGAAUCUUCCUGUUGGUACGGAAUAGCUCAGGGAAACUUGGGGUAAUACCGUAUAAGCCCGAGAGGGGAAAGAUUUAUCGCCGACAGAUGAGCCCGCGUCUGAUUAGCUAGUUGGUGAGGUAAUGGCUCACCAAGGCGACGAUCAGUAGCUGGUCUGAGAGGAUGACCAGCCACACUGGGACUGAGACACGGCCCAGACUCCUACGGGAGGCAGCAGUGGGGAAUAUUGGACAAUGGGCGCAAGCCUGAUCCAGCCAUGCCGCGUGAGUGACGAAGGUCUUCGGAUUGUAAAGCUCUUUUACCAGGGACGAUAAUGACGGUACCUGGAGAAUAAGCCCCGGCUAACUUCGU
rnacentral:rRNA from 1 species